UGGGGAAUAUUGCACAAUGGGCGCAAGCCUGAUGCAGCCAUGCCGCGUGUAUGAAGAAGGCCUUCGGGUUGUAAAGUACUUUCAGCGGGGAGGAAGGUGUUGAGGUUAAUAACCUCAGCAAUUGACGUUACCCGCAGAAGAAGCACCGGCUAACUCCGUGCCAGCAGCCGAGGUAAUACGGAGGGUGCAAGCGUUAAUCGGAAUUACUGGGCGUAAAGCGCACGCAGGCGGUCUGUCAAGUCGGAUGUGAAAUCCCCGGGCUCAACCUGGGAACUGCAUUCGAAACUGGCAGGCUAGAGUCUUGUAGAGGGGGGUAGAAUUCCAGGUGUAGCGGUGAAAUGCGUAGAGAUCUGGAGGAAUACCGGUGGCGAAGGCGGCCCCCUGGACAAAGACUGACGCUCAGGUGCGAAAGCGUGGGGAGCAAACA
rnacentral:rRNA from 1 species